UACGUAGGGUGCGAGCGUUGUCCGGAAUUAUUGGGCGUAAAGGGCUCGUAGGCGGUCCAUCGCGUCGGGAGUGAAAAGCUGGGGCUUAACCCCAGUCCUGCUUUCGAUACGGGUGGACUAGAGGUAGGCAGGGGAGAAUGGAAUUCCUGGUGUAGCGGUGAAAUGCGCAGAUAUCAGGAAGAACACCAAUGGCGAAAGCAGCUUUCUGGGACGGUACUGACGCUGAGACGCGAAAGCGUGGGGAGCGAACAGG
rnacentral:rRNA from 1 species